UCCAGCCUACGGGGCGCAGCAGUGGGGAAUAUUGCACAAUGGGGGAAACCCUGAUGCAGCGACGCCGCGUGAGUGAAGAAGUAUCUCGGUACGUAAAGCUCUAUCAGCAGGGAAGAAAAUGACGGUACCUGACUAAGAAGCCCCGGCUAACUACGUGCCAGCAGCCGCGGUAAUACGUAGGGGGCAAGCGUUAUCCGGAUUUACUGGGUGUAAAGGGAGCGUAGACGGCAGCACAAGUCGGGAGUGAAAUGCCGGGGCUCAACCCCGGAACUGCUUUGGAAACUGUGCAGCUAGAGUGCGGGAGA
rnacentral:rRNA from 1 species